GGUUGUGGCUCUGAGGUAGAGUGCUUGCCUAGCAUGCAUGAGGCACUGGGUUCAAUCCUCAGAAUCA
rnacentral:tRNA from 1 species